UGGAUUUCCAGAAGCUGCUUGAUGAUUCUUCC
rnacentral:piRNA from 1 species